AUAUGACCGUUCUUAUCAUAUUAGUCAAUGGUGAUAGAGGUCGCAUUGCUCCGUCGGCCUCGAACUGUGUUAGUGCCUUGUUCGUCUUAUUAAAUAGAACAUUAAAUCGUCUUAUAUUCAAGAUGGCGUCAAUUGAGAAUCUACUCUCAAACUGCUUUCAGUGUUAUUUGAAAUGUAUAAGACUAAAGUGAAUAUAAUCAGUGAUUUACGAUCAAAAGCUUCGCAAGCUUAAGAACAUCUAAUGAAACUAUUGAACACCUUUGUAAGCGAUAAGCCGUGUAAGAAAAACAAUAACACCAUGGGAUCGCGCCCGGUUGAACGUUCGUUCGCUCAUGCUCCGACAGGAAUAAAAACCGGAAAAUGUUCAUCGGAGGACUCAGUUGGCAGACAAGUCCAGAAUCGCUGAGAGAGUACUUUUGCAAGUACGGGGAGAUAACGGAGGUGAUGGUCAUGAAGGACCCGACCACUCGCAGAUCGAGCGCUCCAGGACAUGAGAGCUUCCAGGUCGGACAGCCUGUCCCGAGGGGAUUCGGGUUCAUUACUUUUGCCGACCCGUCCAGCGUAGACAAAGUACUGGCCCAAGGAACGCACGAGCUCGACGGCAAGAAGAUUGAUCCAAAAGUAGCAUUUCCCAGGCGAGCGCAUCCAAAAAUGGUCACUAGGACAAAGAAAAUCUUCGUCGGCGGCCUGUCGGCCCCGACGACCCUCGAGGACGUCAAGAACUACUUCGAGCAGUUCGGACAGAUUGAGGAUGCUAUGCUUAUGUUUGACAAACAGACCAAUCGGCAUAGAGGCUUUGGGUUUGUCACUUUCCAGUGCGAAGACGUUGUAGACAAAGUGUGCGAAAUACACUUUCACGAAAUAAACAAUAAAAUGGUGGAGUGCAAGAAAGCACAGCCAAAGGAAGUGAUGCUACCGGCGAACUUGGCCAAGACCAGGGCGUCAGGUCGGGGAGCAUACGAUUUCAUGUGGUCUUUGGGGGCCUUACCGGAUGGUUUCCCGGCUGCUGCGUACGCUGCAUAUGCGGCUGGUAGAGGGUACAGCGGCUACCCUAGCUUUGGGCUCCCCUACCCUACAGGUUACCCGGGCUACAAUUAUUACGCCCCCAACUCGUCCUGCGGCGACAGGACCAGCAGCUUCUACGGUGAGUACCAGCCGAGCGGAAGGCAGGACUCGCCCCUGGGCCGCCACGAGCAGGGCUCCCGCAAGCUCCUCGUCAGGCACGACUUGUACCAACCGGAGGACCGGCUUAAAACCUACGUCACAGUUGAUCUGACUAACGGCCAGCUAACGCCAAACAAUAACACGCCCCUGCUAACGCAAGCCUUAUCAGUUGGUGGCGGUUUAGUCAUGAACAACUACCAGGCGGCUGCGGCGGCAGCGGCUGCGGCGGCCGCUGCCAGCGGAUUCGGACCUCCCGCGAGUCCGCACACCCCGAGGGCUGCAGGCUUCCCGGGUGCAAAUUCCCCCGGGCCGACCCUCGACAUGUACACAUCAACAACAGCACCUCCGCAAGCGGAGAGCGUCGGCUACGUCCAGGCUGCCAGCCCUCAAUCCUCAGGCUUCCCCACCAUAGCUGUCAGCAGGGCACCCAUCACCUACAACCCUGAUCAAGAUUACCAACGUUACGAUCUUUAUACGAUAUACCAGUAAGACUGAAGUUGUCCUUUUGAAGUUACGGCAGAAGACUCUUCACGGCGGCCCCUAAGACUUCAGGAAUCGGCCCGUUGAUACCAGCUGCAUUUACCAAUGGUUACCAUUGAGGAGGGUUUGUCACAGGUCAGAUAGGGUAGAUAGACCUCUAGUAGUGGUUAAAUAGAAAGUCUGUAUGUAAAACCAUAUGUACAAUAUGUGUGUAUGUUGUGUGCAGGUGAGCAGGCGGCCUUCGCACCCUCUCAACCUAGUGUAUAAGUUAUAUUGUGCAAUCUUUGCACAACCAGCCUCUGAAUUAUAUAUAUAUUCAUAUUCAUAUGCAUUAAUUAACAUAAUAUAUAUACACGUUAUUAUUGUGUAUACUUGUGUACAACACAAAAACAAAUAUGUACACUUUUAUACACUGGAUGGUUGAAAGGUUAUGUAUAUAUGAUUUCACACCCUGUAAACUUGUAUUUAAAGGGAAAAAAUAAGCAAAGAGUCACCCACUCACUGUAUACCCAUAAGAGAACCCAGUAGAAUAUUAAUUUUAGUAGUGUUUUUGGUAUAAAAAAAAUUCAUUACUCUUUAUUUUCAUAAUCAACUCCCCUUUAGGCGUGUAAACAAAGAGUGAUCUCUCAUCCACUCUUUCAAAAAUUAUAUAAAAACACACCAAAGCUCACUUUUAUGCAUGAAAUAUUUUAAUCUUUACAAUUAUAAUGUAAAUAAUAUUUGGGCGCGUCCGUUUAUAGGAGCCGACCCUAUACUUAACACAUACGUACGAUUAAUAUUUAUCGAUUAUCGCUAAAAAUUGUUAUUAUUGUUGACGGAUUUCUUCAAUUACGAGAGAAAUAAAAAAAAAAGGUUCUUUAUUUCCAUUGUGUUAAAAUGUAGUACGUUAUAGAGAUUUUUUUUUGGGUCUUUGUACAUUGUUGUUCUUGCAAUCCUUAUUCGGUAGGUGAUUGGUAGUACGAGUAUAGACGGAUUAAUAUUCAAUUAACGUGAAAAACUGAUUUUUUUUAAAUAAAACAUUUCUUUUCUUUUUUUGUUUUAAUGUGAAAUUUAACCAGACAAACGAACUCGGGUUAAAAAAAAGACGAUGAAUAAAAAUACUCUAUUGUCUAUUAUAUUAUAUAGCGUUGUUAAUCCUUUUGUUAAGAGAGUAAAUUCAUAUUUUAAUAAUCACAGGGUAUUCUAUAAUUAUUACUAUGGGAAUACAGGAGACCUUUGAUUGUAUCUAGAUAUCCAUUGAUAAUCAAAUCACCUUGGACCAACUCGGUAAUGUUAAGGAAAUUGAGUUUUAGCACUGAAAUAUUUUGUUUAAGGCGAUUUACUGGUGUUUGAUUUUCAGUGCCUACAGAUCAAUGAAAAAAAAA